AUGACAGAGUAUUUCUCUGUGAACUCCAUGAGAGGUCAAAGGUCAUUCCAGAGGUCACAGAAUGAAGCACUGUGGUACACUUUCGGUGGAGGAACUGAACUGGUGAUCAGAACUGGUCCCGCAGUGAAGCCCUCCGUGUCUCUGCUGCCGCCCUCUUCUCUGCAGAUCUCUGGAGACUCAGCCGCACUGCUCUGCCUGCUCAGCUCUUACUCUCCACAGGGGGCGACGGUGAGCUGGACGCUGGACGGGUCAGAGGUCACCGAGGGGGUUCAGACCAGCGCAGAGAGCGAGCGGGACGGACGCUACAGCCGCAGCAGCGUCCUGAGCCUCAGCAAAGCACGCUGGGAAGGCGCGGAUCGCUUCAUCUGCAGAGUAAGACAUGACGGAGCUGAUCACGAGGCCUCGUUCCUCAAGAGCUCCGAGUGCUGAUGUUUCUCCAGUCGAGACGAGCCGUAUCUGAGCGUCCGGCAGGAUUCACGGCAGUCACGUGAUUUACAGCUCAAUACUGAAGCAGUCUUUCAAUGUGCUGCCAUUGCUGUUCAUUCAAUAAAGCUUCUGAACGCGUUA